rnacentral:rRNA from 1 species
UAGGGAAUCUUCGGCAAUGGACGAAAGUCUGACCGAGCAACGCCGCGUGAGUGAAGAAGGUUUUCGGAUCGUAAAACUCUGUUGUUAGAGAAGAACAAGGACGUUAGUAACUGAACGUCCCCUGACGGUAUCUAACCAGAAAGCCACGGCUAACUACGUGCCAGCAGCCGCGGUAAUACGUAGGUGGCAAGCGUUGUCCGGAUUUAUUGGGCGUAAAGCGAGCGCAGGCGGUUUCUUAAGUCUGAUGUGAAAGCCCCCGGCUCAACCGGGGAGGGUCAUUGGAAACUGGGAGACUUGAGUGCAGAAGAGGAGAGUGGAAUUCCAUGUGUAGCGGUGAAAUGCGUAGAUAUAUGGAGGAACACCAGUGGCGAAGGCGGCUCUCUGGUCUGUAACUGACGCUGAGGCUCGAAAGCGUGGGGAGCAAACAGC